UUAUAGACUUGCCUCAUCCUCUUCUUCAAAAAUAUAGCACUAUACGAUCAACAAGUAUAAAUAGUAGCAAGAAUGUGAAGGUCGUAAAACAGAGUAGAGGAAUAAAAGAUACAAUUCACAAUAUGACACUAGUUUCAUCAAUUUCAAUCUCCUCCAUAGUUUUUCCAAUUCAUCGAGAAAAUCAAGAAUCUUCAAAUAAACUUAAUUGGUUGUGCAUUUGGAAUUACACAGCAGGUCCAACCCUACUAGAAACAUGUAAAACAGUCAUGCCAUGAUCAUAAUUAUAAGCUGCAAGAAAUAUUGGACCAUUGCUAGGGAAAAAAAAGAUGCAUUCAGUAAUGCAUAGUGUUAGAACAUAAACAAUAGCCUUCUUCCUUGAGUUUCCUCCUAGGCUGCCUAACAUAAAGAAGGAUAAAGGUAGGACAUAAUUUUAAAUAUUUAAUUAUUAUUCCUAAUUGAUUAGAGAACAAUCCACCUUAGUUGCAACAGAAAUAAUCAAGUUCUCCGUAUACGAAAUUUGUAAAGAGUAAUUUCUUUCUUUAUGCUAAGUUAAAACCUUUUUCUCAAAUCAAGUCCUGGUGAAUACAAUGAAAUUGCAAAUGACUAAGUGAUCUUUAACAAAAUCAGUAGAUCAAGUGAAUUAUAUAGUUUUGUUUUAAUGGUUUCCGAUAAUCCAGUAUGCGUCUCAAUCUAAAAUUAGAUUCUCAACCACCCUGUCAUUGAUAAUCGACUUCCAAUUAGGCAAAUUUAGCAGAACCUCAAACAAGAGAACCAGAGGCAGCAAAUAUAGACGUAAUCCUAGCCAGAAUCCUUCCAAGAUGAAAUAAGCUAAAAUAGCAAUGUUUUGUUUCCCCAUAACACUUCAUACAAGAUCUUUCCUUAAAGUAUGUCAUGUAAUAAGGAAGAUAAGAUACUACACUAAAUAUCAACAGCUCCGGUAUUUAAGACAAGUAUCUAUAAACUGAUUGACUUAUAGAAACUGGGCUUAUGGGUCAAGAAAAUAUAUACUAUGACCUGCUGCAUUUGGUACGACUUUCUCUUUGCAGAUCAAAGGUUUCAUUUCUUAUUGGUUAAUAUAUGGAUAUUUCUUUUUAUGUGUUUAAAUCCCUACUGUACAUUCAACAAUAAAGGUUUCUAUUAAAGCAGAGAAUUACCUCUUUUUCUCCAUCUCAUGUUUCAGUGUAUUAGCAAGAGUUUUCUCUCCACACUUGCGAUAUCCUGGGACAAAAGAAAGAGCCUUUACUUUAUGUAAAGCUCACACAUUCUAACAACGCAAGUAUAAUUGGUAGCACCCAAAUAUACAAGUGGAACUACCAACCUGCACUAGCAGCUUAUAAAAAAGUAGUGAUUGAAUGAUAAUUGGUAGUACAAGUAAGGCUUUAUGGAUGCACGACACACAGAUUUAUUCUUGAAAUCCCUUAAAUAUUGCAAAGAGUUUCUUCUUCUGGUGUUUUGUCACUUGUAAUUACUACAACACUCUGAUAAAAAAAAAUGCUUCAUCAUUUCAUUAGUGCUAGCUUUAUAAUACAAUUAGUUUUCUCUAAACAUGGAUUUACUUCUUGAACCUCAAUAUUCCUUAGUGAAAGACACUAAGAUUUAUCAAUAAAACUAAGGAACAAAAGGGUCACUAUAGUUUUAAUUUUAAAAAGGCAACUAAUCCUCUUAUGCUCCUAGUUGAAAUCACAGUAAUGAUUAGAUUUCACUUAAUUUUCUAAGAGAACAGAUAACACCUAAUCUCACAAAACAUUCAAUUCCUUGGAACCCAAAAUAUUUAUUGAAACAAGAAACAAACACAAUAUCUUCCUCAAGAUGAACAAUAGUAAUACUCACAUCACUAGAUGUAACUAUUUCCACUCUGAGUUUCCAUCACUAUUGAUUUUAAAAUCAGUACAAUUGAAUUGCAUUAAUUCAAUUUUCAAACAUAGAUGCUAAAAAUAUGAAUUUAGACAGAGCAGGAACUAACUUACAAUGAGAUGUGAGAAUCAAAGUAACAUAACCAAAGAGAGAUCCGCAAAGCCAGAAGUAGCCUAUUCUUUAGUAGUAUUACAACCCAAAAAAUAUAGCCAAAGUAGCUGCUAAAAACUACAUCUAUCCCAAUUCCAAAAAGCACAAAUAUACCAAAAAAUAAGUAAAUUAUAGUCACGAUCUGCUUGUGAAUCUACAAUCAAUAGAAAGGAACAUAAUUAAAAAAAGGUAAAAUAGAAAUACCAACCGUAUAAGAGAUGAGACCAUUGAUUAGACUGGAAUGGAGCUAUAAGUACUGAUGUGGAUGAACCACACUAUCUUUAUUUAGAACCUGUAAGAAAAUGGUUAAUUUGUUGCCCUAAUUUUUUCUUUGAAAAAUUUGUCGAUGCUGAUUAGGACAUGCUAACUAAAAACCUAAAUCGAAGCAUUCAAGGAAUUGAAACCCUAAAUUAGAAACAACUAAAACUAGAGAUGAAGGAGCUUACGAUUUCAAGCCAUAGCCCCAACACUGGAAGAUAAGGUUGUCGCUCAUUUGAACCUCUUAACACAAAGCACGAGUCCAAGGGUUGAACUAAUUGGGGAAGGUGAGAGCCAAAAUAAAAAUAAAAAAGGGCAGGUAUUCUUUAGGAGGCCACAAGUCAAAUAAUUUAUUG
rnacentral:lncRNA from 1 species